GCCCCAGCCCCGUGCGACCGGAGGGAGCUCAACCCCGCCAGGUCCGGAAGGAAGCAACGGUCGGCUCGCCUUCGGUGCGACACGGUCGGCUGGGGCUUC
rnacentral:SRP_RNA from 2 species